AGCGCCUUCAAUGGGCAUGUGAGCAUCAGGACUGGACCAUGGAGCAAUGUAAAAAGGUGGACUGAUGACAGCCAGGUGUGUGUGUCUCUUAGCUGGAGAAGAGGUGGCACCAGGAUGCACUAUGGGAAGAAGGCAAGCCGGCUGAGGCAGUGUGAUGCUCUGGGCAAUGUUCUGCUGGGAAACCUUGGAUCUGGACAUUCAUGUGUCUGUUACUUUGACAUGUAUCACUGUCCUAAACAUUUGUUGCAGACCAAGUACACCCCAUUGUGGCAGUAGUAUUCCCCAAUGGCUGUGGCCUCUUUCAGCAGGAUGAUGCGCCCUGCCACACUGCAAAAAUUGUUCGGAAUGUUUUUAGGAGUCCCGCGACCCUGAAAAGGAGUAAGCGGUUGAAGAUGGAUGAUGGAUGGAUGGAUGGAUGGAUGGAUGGAUGGUUUUAGGAGUGACAGAGUUCAUGGUGUUGAUUUGGCCUCCAAAUUCCACAGAUCUCAAUCAAAUCAAGCAACUGUGAGACAUGCUAGACAAAAAAUUCCGAUCCAUGGAGAGAACACCUCACAACUUACAGGACUUAAAGGAUCUGCUGCUAACGUCUUGGUACCAGAUACCAUAGCACACCUUCAGAGGUCUUUAUGGAGUCCAUGCCUCGACAUGCCAGAGCUGUUUUGGUGGCACAAGGGAGAGGGAAGGGGCUACAUAAUAUUAGGCAGAAAAUGUUCAUAGAGUGAACACAGAACAGACAUUUUGCCCAUAUGGAGGUCUAAUAGUUUGUGUUGCAGCCACCACUAAAUUACAUCUACACUGUGUCUCAAUCAACUGACUAAUAAUGAUCAUUAAGGGUUGAUGUUCUCUCUCAAAAGCUUUUCAUGAAUUCUCCAAUUCUCUUAAUAAAAGAUUUAGGCACUGCUCAUGAAAGUGUUUUAAAUGCCAGUUCAAAUCAAGUGUUCAAUCCUGACCGUGAUGGGUUUCUGCCCGGUUCUUUAGUUUAAAUCCCACCUUCAAGAAACAUGCUGGACUGGCUAAGAUAAUCUGCCCCAGGUAUGAAUGACUGUGUGAAAAAUGUGUGGCAUCUGAUCCAGAGUGUGUGUCUGCCUUAUACCCAGUGUUCCUGGGAUAGACUCUGGAUCCAUGUGACCCUGACCAGGGUGAAGUGGAUACUGAAGAUGAAUAAAUUAAUGAAUGAAUUAAUCAUUAGCAUAGAUGCUAGUUCUAUUUGCUAAUUCUGUCUUUAAAAAAAAACCUCUUUUACCGAACAUUCAACCUGUUACUCAUUUUAGAGCAAAAUGCAGCCACUGUCCUUGUAUAAAUGAGCUAUUUUUGCCUGACUUAAGAGUUACAAGGGCUAAAUUGUAUCCUAGUCAUUAAAUCACCCUACCACAUUUUAUAUUAAAUUCAGAUUUUGUUGCACCUUUCCAGAUUUCAGUUACAACACACACUUCCAGUGCUGGUAACAGUCAAUAACGGUUGACACUAACUGCUGUUAUGAAUCCACACUUGAUCCGGAAAUGGUAAAUCAAUAUACAUUCAUAUUUAAGUGCUUACCGUCAACACAAUCUGUCUGAUGUUCACUCCGAGUACACGCUGCACAUGUCUGGUCAGUCCAUAACACACUCCAGACCCCAAAUUAUAUUUUUAGGCCAUUGAGUUACGAGGUUUGCACUUAGCAGCAUGAAGGAGGGGUUGAUGGUGGAAGUGUG
ensembl:lncRNA